GGGGGGGGCGGCAAACUUUACUUUUGCCUAGGGCGGCAAAAAUCCUUGCACCGGCCCUGGCUGGAGGGGGCUGUGUGAGCUGUGGCCGCAUAGUGUCCCAUGGUAGUUAGGGUGCCGUGCGGCCAGUACAGCUCACACAAGCAAACAGCUGAUAAACUGGCCGCACGGAGGAAAUGUGUAUGUGUGACUGUCUGCCUGUGACUGUAUGUGACUGUCUGCCUGUAACUGAGUGUGUGACUGCCUGUAACUGAGUGUGUGACUGUCUGUAACUGAGUGUGUGACUGUCUGCCUGUAAGUGUGUGGGGCUGCAGGGAUUUUGUAGAAGGGGGCGGGGGUUUUGU